rnacentral:rRNA from 1 species
CGACCGGCGCACGGGUGAGUAACACGUAUCCAACCUGCCUGAUACCGGGGUAUAGCCCAUGGAAACGUGGAUUAACACCCCAUAGUACUUUUAUCCUGCAUGGGAUGUGAGUUAAAUGUUCAAGGUAUCGGAUGGGCAUGCGUCCUAUUAGUUAGUUGGCGGGGUAACAGCCCACCAAGACGAUGAUAGGUAGGGGUUCUGAGAGGAAGGUCCCCCACAUUGGAACUGAGACACGGUCCAA